AAGAGCUCAGAGGCUGUAAGCAGCUGUUCAUGUUUGAUGUUCAUAAUACAAGUUGGUUCAAUGAGGGGGACGCUGGUACUCAUCUGUCAGGCUCUGCUGUGGCCUGCCGUUUCAGCUCUGUUUAGAGUGGAGGUAGAGGAGAGAGCGUAUGAGGCAGAAAUACACAGAGACAUCAACCUAGGGUGUAGAUUCUCCACAGUUAAAACAAACACAGACCUUUCUGUCAUAUGGCGACGAGUCGAGCCGAAGCCAGAUGUGGACGUGUAUCGGCUGGAGAGAGGCAGAGUAAACCACAACUACACGAGUGCUGUGUUCAAAGAGCGUGCACAACUGAUUCAAGAUCUGCUGAAUAACAACCGCGCAGUGCUGCGCUUGACGAAACUCAGGAUAAAGGAUUCGGGCACAUAUCAGUGUAUUGUGAAAUACGGGGAUGAAGGAGACUACAAACACGUCACACUCAAUGUUACAGCGCCUUAUUCUCCAAUACAGAAAACUGUCAGACAAACCGGGCGAGAUGAAGUCGAGCUCUCCUGUGAGACUAAAGGUUACCCCUCACCUCAGGUCAUCUGGAGCGAUGGACAAAACACAAAACUUACAGAGAGAAUCAACAGCUCUACACGAUUUACUGAUGAAGAUCUCAUCAACGUCCUCAGCAAGCUGAUGGUGAAACGAGACCUGGUCAACAACUACACCUGCGCCUUCCUCAUGAAGGGUGAAAUCAGAAAGACGGCCACCUUCAGUAUCCCAGAUGAAAUCUCUCCUGACGGCUCUAAUCAGUCUUAUGUGUGGAUCGGAGCUGUGGUGGUUGUGCUUUUGGCCAUUGCCUUCGCCUCUGUGGUUCUGCAUAUGAGGAAAAACGGUCAGAAAACAAGAAGAAAUGAGUCGACUAAAUGUUGUUUGCCGUUGCCGCUCCCAUCUCCUGCUACAAACGCUGACUCAUUAAUGACAGUAGACGAAAAUAGACCAGAUACAUGUGGCACAAUUUUAGAAGGAACCAAUCAGGAGAGAGGUACAAAAGAACGUCCAAAACAUUACAUGUGCCAUGGAACAUCGUGAAGGCCAUCAUCAACAAGUGGAGAAAAUGGGGCACCACAAUGGCAUUCCAAAGAACAGGGCGCCCAUCAAAAUGUAAUUUGAAUAGACCCAGGGCUGGAC